rnacentral:lncRNA from 1 species
GCAAUUACUAAGGAAUCGAAUAAAGUACAAUAACUGUCUGAAAUACAAAUUGGAAAUAAAGUAAAUACAAUAUACUGAAAGAGACUAUAUUGGCUGCAGGUCGCCUCGAGAAAUGCAACUCACCUAGUCCCCGUAUCAUCCAUGCUGCUACGCCCAGUAGGCUACUAGGAAUAUAUGUGCAUAUGCAACAAAAAUGCAUAGAAAAUGUAGCAUGAGUAUGAAAACAAUGUGUACUCACCAAAUAUCCUGUCUAAUCUCGAAGAAGUAGAGACGAGAGACCGAUUUCGACACUUGCUAGUGGUACAAUAAUAUACCAAAACUGUAGUGAAUUAAUGAUAUACAUAAAAAAAUCUCUAUAACUCAAUAGCUUGGAGCUUGUAAUCGAUUCUUUUAUUAUUAGGAAACUUCCAGAUUCAUUUUCAUCAUUUAAGCACUUAUCUCAAGCUAGGGAGAAAACAAUUAUCAACAUCAAUGAAUUUCAAGGCAAGCAAUACAAGCAUGCGCAAAUCAUGCCGAGGUCGUACGACAGAUCCAACAAUAUUUAAACUGUGCACUACCAGAUGGUCAAAUGGCGCGAACCAUAGAUGCAUCUAUUUAAUUUACCGAGGCAUUCGGCCCGUUCCACAAUAGAUAAACACAUUCAAAUAGUCAAAUCAAUAAUUCAUCAAGGAGCAAAUAUUCAGGAAAAAGCAAGUUUCUCUUUUAAAAGUCAAGAAAUGACAUCUAGCCUUAUAGAAUUUCAUUUACACGUUCGAUGUGUUUUAAGCAUUUUUAAGUUUGUCAACAAGGUUGCAAGUAUUACAAGUAAGAAUGCUUUUGGGCCCUAAACUACCCGGACUUAAGCAUAAUAGUAGCUACGCACGGACUCUCGUCACCUCGUGCGUACGUAGCCCCCACAAAUAGGAGCACAUAACCAAUUAACUCACCUAUGGGGACAAUUCCCUCUUACAAGGUUAGAAAGGAGACUCACCUCGCUCCGAAGAUCCAUAACCGGCAUUCCACGCCCUUCCGAAGACUCGAAUCGAUGCUAAAUGCUCCAAAACUAGCCAAUAAGUAUGAAAAUCCAUUAAUAUAUGUUUAAUUACUCAUUAAAAUCCAAUUUAUAAAAAUUCCUAACCCCGAUCAAAAAGUUGACAAAAUUGCCCUCGGCCCACGGGCCCGUAUUCCGAAAUUUCUCAAAGAUAAAGUUUACCCAUGAAAUCACGAACUCAAAUAUAUAAUUAACUCUUAAUUUCAUAUCCAAAAUCGUGGUCAAAAUCUAAGAAUACUAAUUUUCUAGGUUUCCCCCCUUCAAACCCCUACUUUCUACAAAUUACUAUACUUUAAUCCGCAAUAAAACCAUGUAUUUAGCUUAAGAGAGGUGGGAUUAACUUACCUUAUGAUUGAUGGUGAAAUCUCUCUCUUCAAAGGCUCUAGAAUCGCCCAACCCAACUGAAAAAAUGAGAGAAAACGAACCAAUUUUGUUCUUUAAAGAACACUGCCCAGCCCGACCUCUCGCACCUGCGGUCACCUGGCUGCUUCUGCGGUUCCGCAGGUAUGUUUCCCCAACCGCUUUUGUGGUCCUUCGCCAGGCUACCCUCUAUGCUUCUGCGCUCCUUCUUUCGCAGGUGCGGUCCCGCUUUUGCAGUGACCUGACCGCAUCUGCAGUCCUAACCUUCACACUUC